rnacentral:rRNA from 1 species
CGCCUGGGGAGUGCGGCCGCAAGGUUAAAACUCAAAUGAAUUGACGGGGGCCCGCACAAGCGGUGGAGCAUGUGGUUUAAUUCGAUGCAACGCGAAGAACCUUACCUACACUUGACAUGCAGAGAACUUUCCAGAGAUGGAUUGGUGCCUUCGGGAACUCUGACACAGGUGCUGCAUGGCUGUCGUCAGCUCGUGUCAUGAGAUGUUGGGUUAAGUCCCGCAACGAGCGCAACCCUUGUCCUUAGUUGCCAGCAUUAAGUUGGGCACUCUAAGGAGACUGCCGGUGACAAACCGGAGGAAGGUGGGGACGACGUCAAGUCAUCAUGGCCCUUACGUGUAGGGCUACACACGUGCUACAAUGGCAUUUACAGAGGGAAGCGAGACAGUGAUGUGGAGCGGACCCCUUAAAGAAUGUCGUAGUCCGGAUUGGAGUCUGCAACUCGACUCCAUGAAGUCGGAAUCGCUAGCAAUCGCAGGUCAGAAUACUGCGGUGAAUACGUUCCCGGGCCUUGUACACACCGCCCGUCACACCAUGGGAGUGGGAUGCAAAAGAAGUAGUUAGUCUAACCUUCGGGAGGACGAUUACCACUUUGUGUUUCAUGACUGGGGGUGAAGUCGUAACAAGGUAACCGUA